rnacentral:tRNA from 1 species
UCUUAAAUAGCUUAAAUUUAGAGCAUAGUAUUGAAGAUACUAAGGUAAUAAAAAUAUUUUUAAGAAA